UUCGUAGGCGGUUUGAAUAGUCGGAUGUGAAAUCCUGCAGCUUAACUGCAGAACUGCAUUCGAAACUUUCAGACUCGAGUAUGAGAGGGGUAAAGAGAAUUCCCGGUGUAACGGUGAAAUGUGUAGAGAUCGGGAGGAAUACCAGUCGCGAAGGCGCUUUACUGGCUCAUUACUGACGCUGAGGAACGAAAGCUAGGGUAGCCAACG
rnacentral:rRNA from 1 species